rnacentral:rRNA from 1 species
GAUUGAACGCUGGCGGCAUGCCUUACACAUGCAAGUCGAACGGUAACAGGUCUUCGGAUGCUGACGAGUGGCGAACGGGUGAGUAAUACAUCGGAACGUGCCCGAUCGUGGGGGAUAACGGAGCGAAAGCUUUGCUAAUACCGCAUACGAUCUACGGAUGAAAGCAGGGGACCGCAAGGCCUUGCGCGGACGGAGCGGCCGAUGGCAGAUUAGGUAGUUGGUGGGAUAAAAGCUUACCAAGCCGACGAUCUGUAGCUGGUCUGAGAGGACGACCAGCCACACUGGGACUGAGACACGGCCCAGACUCCUACGGGAGGCAGCAGUGGGGAAUUUUGGACAAUGGGCGAAAGCCUGAUCCAGCCAUGCCGCGUGCAGGAUGAAAGCCUUCGGGUUGUAAACUGCUUUUGUACGGAACGAAAAGACUCCUUCUAAUACNNGGGGUCCAUGACGGUA